rnacentral:misc_RNA from 1 species
GUAGGUGAACCUGCGGAAGGAUCAUUAACACGUAUCCACGUAUUAACUAAACGGUAACUGUAUCUCCCUAGUAAUUGUUUAGCUGUUUGACCGAAUCAUGGUGGGUAUACACUCGUGUAUACGAAUUGGUUGAACUUGGGCCUCGAGCUCAAAGCUUUACUCUUUAUUAGGCUUUCUUUUCCAUCUAACCUUUCUACCCUAGGGGAAGAUGGAAUCUAUAAAAACCUAUUUCACCCUAACUAUCAACAUU